rnacentral:rRNA from 1 species
UGGGGAAUAUUGGACAAUGGGCGCAAGCCUGAUCCAGCCAUGCCGCGUGAGUGAUGAAGGCCUUAGGGUUGUAAAGCUCUUCCACCGGUGAAGAUAAUGACGGUAACCGGAGAAGAAGCCCCGGCUAACUUCGUGCCAGCAGCCGCGGUAAUACGAAGGGGGCUAGCGUUGUUCGGAUUUACUGGGCGUAAAGCGCACGUAGGCGGACUAUUAAGUCAGGGGUGAAGUCCCGGGGCUCAACCCCGGAACUGCCUUUGGUACUGGUAGGCUUGAGUGCGAGGGGGGUGAGUGGAAUUCCGAGUGUAGAGGUGAAGUUCGUAGAUAUACGGAGGAACGCCAGUGGCGAAGGCGGCUCGCUGGCUCGAUACUAACGCUGAGGUGCGAAAACGUAGGGAGCAAACAGG